rnacentral:rRNA from 1 species
GUCUACAGCCAUACCACCCUGAACACACCCGAUCUCGUCUGAUCUCAGAAGCUAAGCAGGGUUGGGCCUGCUUAGCACUUGAAUGGGAGAAUGUCUUCAAUGAAGUGGCAAGAAUUAUUAAUU